GAGUGGCGGAUUUUAGAAAUGAUGUGCUGCGUUUUUAUUGUUGCCUCGGUUUUGAUCGGUCCCUGUUGCUAUCGAUGUCGCGUSUAGCGGUGCAUGCUCGACUUCGCUUUGAUGUUCCACGAUCUGUUUGGCUCCACGCAAGCUGGGUUGUGGUUUGUCGGGUGUAGUUGUGGCAUAGUGUACGUGAAGCGCGUGAGUGGCGGAUGGAUUGUAUGGGUUGGUUGGAUCCUUGCUCGCGCAACGACAACCUCUCGUGCGAUCCUCUUCAAUGUCGCUUCGAAUUCGUUCUACUAUUGGGCGCGGUUGGUUUUCCUUUGUUGUGUACCAACAACGAAGGUAUUCGAUUUUCGCAAAUGUCCCUAUUUUGUCUUGUGCCGCUUGCACGGUAUGCGAUGAACCGUAAAGAAUGCCCUGUGAUCCUUGCAUCUAUCACCCAGGCGUGUGGCGUGCAUGGCUCAUGGGGCAGUGCCUGAAUGCUGGGAUACGGAACCUUAUGUGGGUAAUGGGGUCUUCGACCUACGUUUAUCUGGACUAAAGCAAUGUUGCUCGGUACGAAUGACGGUUGUGCCCGUCUUGACCACCCGUUCACUCGGUCUGGUUCAUGCGGUGCCGACG
rnacentral:misc_RNA from 1 species